ACGCCCUGUAAUAGGCUGUAAGAAAAAAUUCCACUUUGGAGCUAUCUUUUCUCUUUUUUCCACCUUUCAUUCAUCUUUUGAAUCAACUAUUUUGAGUGAUCAUAUCGAGAUAUGGCAAUUCCAAACGUACGUAUUCCCAGCCGACAGCUAUACAUCGACGGUGAAUGGAGAGAACCAGUCAAGAAGAACAGAAUACCUAUAAUCAGUCCGGCUACUGAAGAAAUUAUCGGGGAAAUACCGGCUGCUACUGAGGAAGAUGUGGAUAUAGCUGUGGAAGCUGCUCGGAGAGCGCUAGCUCGGGAUGACUGGGGCUCAACAACAGGGGCACAGCGCGCAAAAUAUCUUCGUGCUAUUGCUGCUAAGAUACUAGAGAGGAAGUCUGAACUUGCAAAACUUGAAUCGCUUGAUUGUGGAAAAACAUUAUUUGAGGCUGCUUGGGAUAUGGAUGAUGUCGCAGCAAGUUUUGAGUACUACGCAGACCUCGCUGAAGCUCUGGAUUCAAAAAGGAAAACUCCAGUUGAUCUCCAUCUGGAUUCAUUUAAGACUUAUGUUCUUAGAGAACCUCUUGGUGUAGUUGGAUUGAUAACUCCAUGGAAUUAUCCACUGUUAAUGGCCACAUGGAAAGUUGCCCCUGCCCUGGCUGCUGGUUGUGCAGCAAUACUUAAGCCGUCUGAACUAGCAUCUAUAACCUGUUUGGAGUUGGGUGAGAUCUGUAGAGAGGUGGGCCUCCCUCCUGGUGCUCUAAACAUUUUAACAGGAUUGGGGCCUGAAGCUGGUGCUCCUUUGGUAUCUCAUCCUCAUGUUGACAAGAUUGCAUUUACAGGAAAUGGCGCCACAGGAGUUAAGAUCAUGACUGCUGCAGCUCAACUUGUUAAACCAGUUACUCUUGAGCUUGGUGGAAAAAGUCCAAUAGUGGUGUUUGAUGACAUUGAUAACCUUGAUCUAGCUGUUGAGUGGACUCUUUUUGGUUGCUUUGCAAAUGCUGGUCAAGUUUGCAGUGCAACAUCACGUCUUAUACUACAGGAAAGCAUUGCUUCUGAAUUUUUGGAGAGGCUGCUUCUCUGGAUAAAAAAUAUCAAAAUCUCAGAUCCUUUGGAAGAAGAUUGCAAGCUUGGUCCCAUCGUUAGUUCUGGACAGUAUGAGAAGGUAUUGAAGUUCAUCUCAAAAGCCAAAGAUGAAGGUGCAACCAUUUUAUGUGGUGGCGAAAGGCCUCAGCAUAUGAAGAAAGGAUAUUAUGUUCAACCAACAAUUAUUACUGAUGUUAAUACCUCCAUGGAAAUCUGGAAAGAGGAAGUAUUCGGACCUGUUCUUUGUGUCAAAACAUUCAAAACUGAAGAGGAAGCCAUUGAACUAGCAAAUGACACCAAGUAUGGUUUGGCUUCUGCUAUUAUGUCAAAAGAUGUUGAAAGGUGUGAGCGUUUCACAAAGGCUUUUCAGACAGGGAUCAUCUGGUUCAACUGUUCACAGCCAACCUUUACGCAGCUUCCAUGGGGUGGUAGAAAGCGUAGUGGUUUUGGACGCGAUCUAGGGGAAUGGAAUAUCUCCAAAUGUUUCCUUGUGCUUAAAUGGCCUCAGAUUUGAAAUUGGUAGAAUGAUGGAUCAAGUAAAAAAGAUAUUCAAAGUAUGUUUGGUAGGUUACUAUACUCAGGAUGCAGAGACAGACGCAGGAUUUCAAACGGGUCUUGAGAACUACUUGAACAUUAAGCAGGUGACGCAGUAUACUUCUGUUGAACCAUGGGCUUUUUACAAGUCACCUUCAAAGGUGUGAAAUUUUCUCAGUUGUCGAAGAAAAUGCAACAUAUUGCUGUUACAAGAACCACUGAAAGGGAGUUGAUUGAGGCUUGGGAUGUGAAACUGUUAGUCAAUCUGUAUUACUAUAAUAAAUAACGAAAAAUAAACUUUAUGAAAUAGAAAAAAUAGAAACAGAAAGUUAGCAACAACAGAAUGUCGAAAUAAUUUCUGGAAAAACGAUUUCGAAAUAAA